AUGAAUUUGCUAUUUAUAAAGUUCAAGUGGACAAACCAGUUCAGUUGCCUACUUUUACCGAGUGUGUGCGUUCUGGUCAAGAUGUUUCUGAAUCUUAGUACCACUCAUGGUAUGGUGGCUUAUAAGAUUCCAUCCUGGUAUGAGAGAUGUCACUAUAUGUAUUUGUCUUGUGAUCCAUCUAGUCCCUCACUGCUUCGUGAUGAUGGAGGACCCAUCAUUGAUUUAGAAGGGAAAGUUGUGGGUCUAGUUAACAACCAUAUUAAGGAGACAUUCAUACCUUCGUUCUUAUUGCACAAGUGCUUGGAUUUUUGGAGAAGAUUCAAUUGUAUGCCUCGCCUCCAUCUUGGAAUGACGUUUACUUCAAUAAAACAUUUAGAUCCUAUCUGUAUUGAGAGAAUGACACGUAAGCAUAACAUCGAGUCCGGUCUUAUUGUUGAGCAGGUGUCUAAAGGAUCACAUGCUGAGAAAAUUGGAAUUCGUGAGGGUGAUGUUAUUGAAAGCUUUAAUGGAAAGUACAUUUCUACUACAAUUGAGAUCAUUCUGUCCGAGUUGAGAAUGUCCAGAUCCAAGCAAAUCACCUGA
rnacentral:rRNA from 1 species